GACAUGUGAUCGCCUUCCUCUUUUUCUUCAGCAGUCUAAGAAGAAACAUCAUGGGUCAGGUGUCAAACUCCUCCUGGAGUCUGGGUGGCUGUCUGCCAGCCUCAUGUCCUGGAGUUAAAAGCUGAGAGAACUGACCAGAAUCCAGAUCAGAGCCCAGGGGCAUUGGAGUUCUUGUAAUGUUCUUCUGAUAGUUCAUUUCUGGACCCAUUGUCCUCUCCAUGAUGUUCUUCAUCUCCCUCACCCCUGGACGUCAACAAAGCAGUCCACCUUCACAUCAGUUUGACUCAGACUUAGGUGAGUCACACCUUUGAUCAAUGCAGACGUGGCUGUUUGUCAUGAUGUGAAGAAGCACUGCUUAAACAGCAUGAGCCCAGUUCAACAGAGCAGUAUCCUAUCCAUCUGCUCCCCUCAGUCAGAGCGGCAGGAAAUAACAGCAGAGCCUCUGUGGAAAAGAACCUCAAGUGUGUAGAUGUAAAACAGGUUAAAGGUGCUGAGGAACGGGGAACAAACAGCAGGUAUGACUUUGGCCAUCCGCCGAAGGAGCCCAGAGCCCUGUCUGCAGCUGUAAACCUCAUUUUCUGUCAUUUCCCUCAGAACAAAAAGCAGCAAUGCUCUGCCACUGACUGUUGUGAUCAGAAGAAGAAAGCGCCGCAGCUGGCCAUGGUGUUACAUGACUAUAGCCACUAGAUCUGUCAGUACCGGUACAGGACCCGACUCCUGAAUUGGGUUUUAUUCCUCAACAAAUUCUAUUUGAAGAGUGUAGCAGUGUGUGAAUCUAGUUGGGGCAGGAGGCUGUGGAAUUAUGAUUCCUAUUAAGCUUUCCAAAGACACAGUAAAUGAACUAAAUAUCCUGUUACCAUUAAGACAUCUGCAUAAUGUUCAGCGCACCAACAUAUGUUAUUGCUCUGUAAAUAUCUUCCUGAUACACAAUCACUGCCUCGAUGUGUUGACCCGAACGUCUUCAUUUCUUUGUUUCCAGUCCUUACAAAGCUGAUGAUGCCCUGUGCACUCACCUGGACACAGAGCACUGAUAUUCCCCAGUUCCUACUCAAAGUAAAUUAAUACCUUGACAAUUCUGGAAGCAAACACAAACAUAAAACACAGGCCAUACUGUUGUUUUUGUUUAAUGUCUUCUUCUUGAACAUGAUGAUUUUACACAUUUUCAGAUUUCCCAUUUCCUUUCAAAUUAAAGGGACUUUCUCUAAUAUGUUUAAUGUAUUUCCUGGUAGCGUCUUAUGAGCUUUAUAUUUGAUAUUCCACUGUGUCAUAAAAUCUCAGUGCCUGUAACAUAACAAACAUAAGGUACGGGACAUGAAGCCAUGUUAAUAAGUGCUGCAGCUCACCUCUGUAGAAUGAAAAUGUGAUUAGUGAGAGUUUUACAUGCAUUUCCCCAAACCUUGACAUAACAGACCAUGUGUGGAACAGUAACAGUGCAUUUCUGUGUAGCUGGUCUGACGCUUUGUGCAAAAGUGCCACUGACUUCAUAUCAUUUACAUGUGGUUUCCAGCACAGCCUUUGAUCGAUGAUGACCCAAAAAUGUAUUUUCAUGUACUCUCUGGAUUUCAAAGCUACUUCUGUUUGUGCACCCGGACCACCUUUCUGGGCAGUACAGGACUGAUCUGCCAUCCAGUCAAUAACUGCA